AUCAUCAGUAGUGGUUAAUACUAUCUCAAGAUAAUAUUAAUUACAAUUUUUUAUAGAAACCUAAAGUUUUGAUCAUUUGUGUUCUUAAGUUAGGAUACCUCUUCGGGGGUAUUCUGAUUAGUUAAUACUGGAACUCUGAGUGAUUGAUUCAUUACAUAUAACCCAUAGCUGAGUGGCAUCUGACAGACCCUAAACAAGUCUGGCACAGAUAUCAUUUCGUUUCCGGUUUCUUAGAUCAUAAUCUCCUAUGAGGAAGGUCCUCGAAUAGUCAAACUAUUCGAGGAAAGAUACAUGUUUAUCAGAGGAUUGUAUAAUGCAAUCUGAGAGUUUGUAAUCAGUCGUGUCUCUUCUUCAUGGUAGGACAAUU
rnacentral:snoRNA from 24 species